UACGUAGGUGGCAAGCGUUGUCCGGAUUUACUGGGCGUAAAGAGCGCGCAGGCGGUCGUGCAAGUCGCGUGUGAAAGCCCCCGGCUCAACUGGGGAGGGUCACGCGAUACUGCUCGACUUGAAGGCAGGAGAGGGAAGUGGAAUUCCUGGUGUAGCGGUGAAAUGCGCAGAUAUCAGGAGGAACACCGGUGGCGAAGGCGGAUCUCUGGGCCUUGCCUGACGCUGAGGCGCGAAAGCUAGGGGAGCGAACAGG
rnacentral:rRNA from 1 species